rnacentral:rRNA from 1 species
UACGUAGGGUGCGAGCGUUUGUCCGGAAUUAUUGGGCGUAAAGAGCUCGUAGGCGGUGUGUCGCGUCGGCCGUGAAAACCUGGGGCUCAACUCUGGGCGUGCGGUCGAUACGGGCAUCACUGGAGUUCGGCAGGGGAGACUGGAAUUCCUGGUGUAGCGGUGAAAUGCGCAGAUAUCAGGAGGAACACCGGUGGCGAAGGCGGGUCUCUGGGCCGAUACUGACGCUGAGGAGCGAAAGCCAUGGGUAGCGAAC